rnacentral:rRNA from 1 species
AUUGAACGCUGGCGGCAUGCUUUACACAUGCAAGUCGAACGGCAGCGCGGGCUUCGGCCUGGCGGCGAGUGGCGAACGGGUGAGUAAUACAUCGGAACGUGCCCAGUAGUGGGGGAUAGCUCGGCGAAAGCCGGAUUAAUACCGCAUACGACCUGAGGGUGAAAGCGGGGGAUCUUCGGACCUCGCGCUAUUGGAGCGGCCGAUGGCAGAUUAGCUAGUUGGUGGGGUAAAGGCCUACCAAGACGACGAUCUGUAGCUGGUCUGAGAGGACGACCAGCCACACUGGGACUGAGACACGGCCCAGACUCCUACGGGAGGCAGCAGUGGGGAAUUUUGGACAAUGGGCGAAAGCCUGAUCCAGCAAUGCCGCGUGUGUGAUGAAGGCCUUCGGGUUGUAAAGCACUUUUGGCGGGAACGAAAAGGACUGUGCCAAUUCCACGGUUCGAUGACGGUACCCGCAGAAUAAGCACCGGCUAACUACGUG